UCCGUAGGUGAACCUGCGGUUGGAUCAUUACAAAGUUUUUGUGCCGGGUGAAAACUCGCGCACUUUAACCCCCUGUGCACUUAUUUUUGGGCGUAAAAACCCAAUGAUAAACUCUGUUUAUAGUCUUUAUUAUAAAAACAAUAACAACUUUUGACAACGGAUCUCUAGGCUCUCGCAACGAUGAAGAACGCAGUGAAAUGCGAUACGUAAUGUGAAUUGCAAAAUUCCGUGAAUCAUCGAAUCUUUGAACGCACCUUGCACGCUGUUUUGCAGCGUAUGCCUGUUUGAGAAUCUAUAGUUUAUUCAACCUCGGUUGAGAUUUGAGUCGCGUUUCAGUGAAACUGACUUUAAAUGCAUUGCUUUGGGUGCACCGUAUGUUGACAUUCGGAGCCAGAGAGAUGAAGGGCUUGCCCACUUCCUCUGUUAAAGAAUUAGUACGGGACAUUCAGACCCAACUACUAUAUUUUAUUCAUGGUCUCAAAUCAGGUAGGACUACCCGCUGAACUUAAGCAUAUCAAUAAGCGGAGGAAGUCGACUGCCAAGGGGCACACAGGGGGGGAUA
rnacentral:rRNA from 1 species